rnacentral:rRNA from 1 species
GACGAACGCUGGCGGCGUGCCUAACACAUGCAAGUCGAGCGGGGUUGAAGCGAGGGGUAACUCGAGUUUCUACCUAGCGGCGGACGGGUGAGUAACGCGUGGGCAACCUGCCUCAAGGACUGGGAUAACAGCUCGAAAGGGCUGCUAAUACCGGAUAAGCCUAUGGCCUCGCAUGGGGCCAUGAGCAAAGGGGAAACCCGCCUUGAGAUGGGCCCGCGUCCCAUCAGCUAGUUGGUGAGGUGAAGGCUCACCAAGGCGACGACGGGUAGCCGGCCUGAGAGGGUGACCGGCCACACUGGGACUGAGACACGGCCCAGACUCCUACGGGGGGCAGCAGUGGGGAAUCUUGCACAAUGGGCGAAAGCCUGAUGCAGCGACGCCGCGUGAGCGAAGAAGGCCUUCGGGUUGUAAAGCUCUGUCUGGAGGGACGAAGGGAAGUGACGGUACCUCCGGAGGAAGCCACGGCUAACUACGUGCCAGCAGCCGCGGUAAGAGUCACGUCGCG